UAGAUUCGAUCUGGCUCAGAGUUUGAUCCUGGCUCAAGAAUAUCAUUUCCUGGGACAGAGUCCGAUGGCCCCGUAAAACUUGUUGGACCCGCCUGUAUUAUCUGGAUAACGCCGGGAAACCGGGGCUAAUACCGGAUUUUUUUUUCCUCCCCAUGAACGAAAAAGGAACAACAGCUUCUGCUGUCGCUUUCAAAUGGGCCCUCGGCUCUUUAUCUUGUUGGUGGGGUAACGGCUCUACCUGGUUGGUAUGCUAACCCCAUCUGAAAGGGUGAACGGCCACAUUGGGUCUGAGACACAGCCCCCACUCUGACAGGAAGACGCGGUCCGGAAUCCUCCGGAAUGGACCAAUAUCUGAUCUUCCACCAUGGCGUGAAUGCAGAUGGAGCAACGCCCCGUGAUUCUGUAGGGUUUCAGCUCCAGUGCCCUUCUGUUUUUUAAUAGCCUGGAGGAACGCACUCCUCAUGCGCUUACGAGAGUACCGCCCAAAAGUGCCUGAUUUCCUUCGUUCCC
rnacentral:rRNA from 2 species